rnacentral:misc_RNA from 1 species
UUUCCGUAGGUGAACCUGCGGAAGGAUCAUUAAAGAGAAUAUGCCCUUCGGGGUAGAUCUCCCACCCUUUGUUUAUAUUACCUUUGUUGCUUUGGCAGGCCCGUCUUCGGACCACCGGCUUCGGCUGGUCAGUGCUUGACAGAGGACCCAAAACUCUUAUUAUUAAUGUCGUCUGAGUAUUAUAUAAUAGUUAAAACUUUCAACAACGGAUCUCUUGGUUCUG